GGUCUCGUAGCUCAGCUGUUAGAGCGUGCGCAUAUGAAGCGUAGGCGGCAUCUACACGUGGGUUCGAAUCCCACCGAGGCUA
rnacentral:tRNA from 1 species